CUGCAUGACCUGUUUAUGAAAUGUUUUGCAAUUAGGCAGAUCUGAUUGCAUGAACAUGCAAAUGGGCCAUAUUUUGGAGAUAAAGGAAAUGUUUGAAGUUGCUGAUUGUGGUUGCCCUGUGUCACCGUUGACAGACGUUAGUGGCCGUGAGAAAGUUGU